AUUGAACGCUGGCGGCAGGCUUAACACAUGCAAGUCGAACGAGGGGCGGACGGGUGAGUAAUGCUUGGGAAUCUAGCUUAUGGGAGGGGAUAAAUACGGGAAACUGUAGCUCAUACCGCGUACUAUCGGAUGAACCCAUAUGGGAUUAGCUAGUAGGUGGGGUAAGGGCUCACCCAGAGACGAUAGCUAGCUGGUCUGAGAGGAUGAUCAGCCACACUGGGUCUGAGAUACGGCCCAGACUCCUACGGGAGGCAGCAGUGGGGAAUAUUGCGCAAUGGGGGCAACGCUGACGCAGCCAUGACGAGUGAAUGAAGAAGGCCUUCGGGUUGUAAAGUUCUUUCGGUAGCGAGGCGUUAACUACAGAAGAAGCACCGGCUAACUCCGUGCCAGCCGCCGCGGUAAUAC
rnacentral:rRNA from 1 species